CACAAAGUUGUAAUUGUGUCAUGGGCGAACCCCACGCAGCCGCCACGACCUCCCCGCUUCCAACGAGUCAGUUGUAGCCAAUCUAGGGGACUCAUUCAUAUCACGUGAUCUUUGUUGACUUACGUCAGGCAUGGCUCCACUGUACUCUCAGGCUCCUGGGACCCCGCCCUUCCAGUUCGGCAAGGACCUUGGAACGUGACAGAGGCUGACUCUGAUUCUGACCGCUGGUUGGUUGAUGGCCAUGUCUAUCGAGAAAAAGGUAGUCUCUGGGAUGGAGUAACCUGCAUAGUUCAACCUGUGGGUCCUCCUCUGACACUCUUCAAAAACCGGAAAUACCAGACACUGAAGCAGGAAUGCAUCAAAGACAGACUUUUCUGUUAUCCACGAUUUCUGUCUUAGAAUGAUUAUUUUCUAUAACUGACUGCUUCCUGGAAAGGUGUGUGGAAACAUUCCCAGGACAAAUAACUCCCAAGUUAUCUCAGACAGUGGAAGACUUACAUCUUGGUGCAUUGGUCAGGAAGAAGAGAAUUCAUCGUAAGGGUAAGAGUGAACCUUUAACUCUUUACUUUCAUUUCUCAAACUUAUUAUCUAUUCCAAUCUAGUUACUUUUUAAAGGACUAAGUGGCUAAGUUGGCUGGACUUCAUGGGUCAAUAGGGAUUUCCGGAAGGGGACAUUCCCCUUAUCCAGAAUGAGUCAUAGCUGCAAGCUAAGGGAUUGAACUUCAACCAAUCAAAGGGGACUUUCCCCUAAGACAAAAUGAGUCACAGCUGCAAACAAAGGGAUUGAAACUUCAAUCAUAUAGGGAGUUUACGCUGUUGCUGCGGCCUGACGUUUUUAACCAAUCAGGCCCAUCGAUCUACAAGCAGAUGGAAAACAAGCUAAUCCUAUAGGGGAGAAAAAGGAAAAGGGAGGAGUCAUAAGGGGAUUUGAGCAUAGGACACCCAAGCCAGAAAAGCAACCCUUCUAGGUCCCUUUCCACUAUGUGGAAGCUUUACUUUUGCUUUACUUUCACUUUUGCUUUAAUAAACCUUGCUGCUGCACUCUCUUUGGGUCCUUGUGUUUCUCUAAUCAAGCUGUAACACUUGCUGCUGCAGUCCACAGCUUCAUUCCUUGAAGCACAUAAGACCAUGAACCCUUCCAUGGAGAAGAAGCUUUGAUGGGAAGAAGACUUCUUGUCUUAUCUUCACCGAGGGCCUAAGCCCUUGUGUGGGAUUGGAAAGCGGUCUUGGGGCUACGGAAGAUUUCUGGCUGGUGCUAUGUCCCAGUGUUAUCUGAAGGCUGUUAGACUAACUCCGUUCCAUGACAGCCCAUCAGGGUCAGCAAAAGGACUUCUUCCUAUCACAUUUUCCUUUUUUCUGUCACAGCUAUCAUGUCUCCUACUCCUUCUUUGAAUACAAUGUUGCGGGUGUUUUUGCAACCUAGAGAUGUCCGCUUGCUGGGUAGUUAAUAGGUGUCUUAGUAAUCAGGAAUGUAAUUCAAAGAGUUGUUGUCUUGUGAUUUCCUAGAAACAGGAGAAUUCAGUAUUUCAAUCUAAGUUUUCACCUAAUAAUGUCUAUUCUAUCCCUCAAUGAUGAACAUUCAUAGCACUGAAUGGGAGAAUAUUUCACCCCUAGUGAAUAUCCUCCUCCAAUUUUAGGUUGUUUUUUCCUUCAAGUAGGAGUUCAGCAUUGUCCAGUGAAUUUAAACAGUUCUUUUAUGAAACAAAUUAAUUUUCUUAUGCUGGAAGACAUGUUAUAGGGAUAGCCUAUCAAACCCAAACCGCUCUUUCUAACUUUUGCCUGAGAAGAAUUGAGUCAUGGAUUUUUACCUAAUAUUUCUUUUUUAAAAUAUUUAUUUAUUUGUUAUUUAUUAUCUAUUUAUUUAAUUUAUUCUUUGAGACAGAGUCUCUCUGUCACCCCUCCUG